rnacentral:rRNA from 1 species
CCCUUAGAUGUUCUGGGCUGCACGCGCGCUACACUGAUACUUUCAGCGAGUCCACCACCUUGCCUGAGAGGGUGGGGUAACCUCUGGAAAGUGUAUCGUGAUGGGGAUCGAUUAUUGUAAUUAUUAAUCUUCAACGAGGAAUUCCUAGUAAGCAUGUGUCAUCAGCCCGUGCUGAUUACGUCCCUGCCCUUUGUACACACCGCCCGUCGCUCCUACCGAUUGAAUGUGUUGGUGAGGAGCUCGGAUUGGCAGCAGUUGGUGGUUCGCCACCGGCUAUUGCUGAGAAGUCCUCCAAACCGCCCCAUUUAGAGGAAGGAGAAGUCGUAACA